rnacentral:rRNA from 1 species
GGGGGAAUUUUGCACAAUGGGGGGAACCUUGAUGCAGCGACGCCGCGUGAGGGAUGGAGGCCUUCGGGUUGUGAACCUCUUUCGCUCGUGUGCAAGCCGCUAUUUGGGUAGUGGUGAGUGUAGCGGGUAAAGAAGCGCCGGCUAACUACGUGCCAGCAGCCGCGUUACUACGUAGGGCGCGAGCGUUGUCCGGAUUUAUUGGGCGUAAAGGGCUUGUAGGCGGUUUGUCGCGCCUGUCGUUUAAUCCUCUGGCUUAACUGGGGGUGUGCGGUGGGUACGGGGAAGCUUGAGGGCGGUAGGGGAGAUUGGAAUUCCUGGUGGCGCGGUGGAAUGCGCAGAUAUCAGGAGGAACACCGGUGGCGAAGGCGGGUCUCUGGGCCGUUACUGACGCUGAGGGGCGAAAGCGUGGGGAGCGAACAGG